rnacentral:rRNA from 1 species
UACGUAGGGGGCAAGCGUUGUCCGGAAUCAUUGGGCGUAAAGCGCGUGUAGGCGGCUCGAUAAGUCCGCUCUGAAAGUCCAGGGCUCAACCCUGGGAUGCGGGUGGAUACUGUCGAGCUUGAGUCCGGAAGAGGCGAGUGGAAUUCCUGGUGUAGCGGUGAAAUGCGCAGAUAUCAGGAGGAACACCAAUGGCGAAGGCAGCUCGCUGGGACGUGACUGACGCUGAGACGCGAAAGCGUGGGGAGCGAACAGG